rnacentral:rRNA from 1 species
UCCAGACUCCUACGGGAGGCAGCAGUGGGGAAUAUUGCACAAUGGGGGAAACCCUGAUGCAGCGACGCCGCGUGAGCGAAGAAGUAUUUCGGUAUGUAAAGCUCUCUCAGCAGGAAAGAAAAUGACGGUACCUGACUAAGAAGCCCCGGCUAACUACGUGCCAGCAGCCGCGGUAAUACGUAGGGGGCAAGCGUUAUCCGGAUUUACUGGGUGUAAAGGGAGCGUAGACGGUCCUGCAAGCCAGAUGUGAAAGCCCGGGGCUCGACCCCGGGACUGCAUUUGGAACUGUAAGGCUAGAGUGUCGGAGAGGCAGGCGGAAUUCCUAGUGUAGCGGUGAAAUGCGUAGAUAUUAGGAGGAACACCGGUGGCGAAGGCGGCCUACUGGACGGUGACUGACGCUGAGGCUCGAAAGCGUGGGGAGCAAACAGGAUUAGAUACCCCAGUA